rnacentral:rRNA from 1 species
AUUGAACGCUGGCGGCAGGCUUAACACAUGCAAGUCGAGCGAGAGGCGGACGGGUGAGUAAUGUCUGGGAAAAUGCCUGAUGGAGGGGGAUAACUACUGGAACAGGUAGCUAAUACCGCAUACAAUCAGAUGUGCACGGAUGGGAUUAGCUAGUAGGUGGGGUAAGGGCUCACCUAGGCGACGAUCCCUAGAUGGUCUGAGAGGAUGACCAGCCACACUGUGCUUGAGACACGGUCCAGACUCCUACGGGAGGCAGCAGUGGGGAAUAUUGCACAAUGGGCGCAAGCCUGAUGCAGCCAUGCCGCGUGUGUGAAGAAGGCCUUCGGGUUGUAAAGCACUUUCAGCGAGGAGGCGUUACUCGCAGAAGAAGCACCGGCUAACUCCGUGCCAGCAGCCGCGGUAAUUC